rnacentral:lncRNA from 1 species
CCGAGUGAAGAACGUGAAAAUGUUAACUAUUUUACAAGUUACAUAGUUAGAGCCUUUGGUGUUUGUCUGAGUGGAUGUACAUCGUUUUCUCAAUGUAAUUUCACAAAUAAUAUAUUUACUUGAGAUGUCUGAAUUCGUUUUACAAUUUAUUAGUUUUGUGUAAAAUUCACGAACUGGUAAAAUGGCGGCGCCACUCGGUCUGCAUCAACAGACUUCAGUCCAGGCAGUGUGGAUGCAGCAGAGAGAGACCAUUUCACGGAUGCACCACUGUUUUAAAGUUUAAUGUAAUGAUUAUCAGUUUUCUACAUGUGUACUAAUAUUCAGACUAUUUAAGUUAUCGCUGUCUAUACAUAUUACUAUGGUGUGAACGGAAAUACUAUUGUUUUUUAAAUUUAAAUAACAGUGAAGACAAGGUUAUUCAGGAAAAUAGUACAAAGUGCUGCCUAAAACAUACUGCAACCUUGUACUAAAUGGUUUUUGAGUCAUUUAAGCAUUUAUAUGAAUUCAGGAAAUCUACCAUAGAUUAAGUGCGCUUAAUUGUGUAGCCUGAUUUAAAGCGUAAACGUUGUCUGAUGUGAAGCAAUUCAUGUUUUGUUGUCAAUGCUUUUUCUCUUUAUUACUACAGGCUGACUCAGAUUAAGUCUGAGGCCAGUAACAUCAACAGUGAGGACAAACCCAACCUGCCUCUCUCCUUCCACACUGAGUCCAAACCUACAGUCACUGGGUCCUGAUUGUGACAGAGGAGCCCAGUUUGCACUGCAGGAUCCAGAGAUGGCAUCAGUGAAGCUGGAAGACUGCAGUCAAACACUGGAGCUGAAUGUCAACAUUAAAGAUGAAGAAGAGGAGGAGAAGAUUGGGAAAUCUGUUAAUCAUGGUAUGAGGCCGGUAACAUCAACAGUGAGAACAAACCCAGCCUGCCUCUCUCCUUCCACACGGAGUCCAAAACUACAGUCACUGGGUCCUGAUAAUGACAGUGGAGGCCAGUUUUUACAGCAGGAUCCAGAGAUGGCAUCAGUGAAGCUGGAAGACUGCACUCAACCCUGGAGCUGAAUGUCAACAUUAAAGAUGAAGAGGAGGAGGAGAAGAUUGGGAAAUCUGUUUCUCAUGGUAAGAGCAGGUUCUAUCUAACUAAGUUGUUGUUCGUUCCAACUUCCCACUGUGCAUGAUAAGUUGCAGUAGAAUGAGUGUGUAGUUACUAAUAACCCUUGUGAUGUUGAGUUGAUGAUA